CCUACGGGGGGCUGCAGUGGGGAAUAUUGGACAAUGGGCGAAAGCCUGAUCCAGCCAUGCCGCGUGUGUGAAGAAGGCCUUCGGGUUGUAAAGCACUUUCAGUGGGGAAGAAAGCCUUGGGGCUAAUACCCUCGAGGAAGGACAUCACGCACAGAAGAAGCACCGGCUAACUCCGUGCCAGCGGCCGCGGUAAUACGGAGGGUGCGAGCGUUAAUCGGAAUUACUGGGCGUAAAGCGCGCGUAGGCGGUCUGAUAAGCCGGUUGUGAAAGCCCCGGGCUCAACCUGGGAACGGCAUCCGGAACUGUCAGGCUAGAGUGCAGGAGAGGAAGGUAGAAUUCCCGGUGUAGCGGUGAAAUGCGUAGAGAUCGGGAGGAAUACCAGUGGCGAAGGCGGCCUUCUGGACUGACACUGACGCUGAGGUGCGAAAGCGUGGGUAGCAAACAGGAUUAGAUACCCGAGUAGUC
rnacentral:rRNA from 1 species